AGGAAAUCCAAGACAGGAUACGCAUCAUUGAGCUCUACGCGAAGGACCGACAGUUUGCAGACUUUGUGCGGCAUCAUCAGGCAGUCGUGGAUACCCGCAGAGAGAGCUCCUCCACACACACAUGAAGCUCACCUGUGUUUCAGAAACAAGACUGUGUUAGUAAAGUGAAUCUGGACCCGUGAAGACGGACUGGACUGAACCUCAGCACGGAGCUCAUUAUCCCAUCUCGCCCGACGACCCCUCUCCGUGUCUCCGGGUGACCCUCACAUGUUGACCGCUCUUCCUCCUUCCUUUGUGCCUUCUCUUGAACGGGUGAGCUGGCUGUGGCAUCUGCUGGACGUCUCCCUUUUGGGGCAACUGGACUGAAUCCUAUUACUUGAAACGUUCAUCACAAUCCCGUCAGUAGUACUUUUUGUCUAGUGGAAUAAUCGGUUUUGUUUUCAUCAUGUCAUAUUUGUCCAUAAUUCAAGAGAGGAACUUUAAAAACUUUGAAUAUCGUGUAACUGUUAGGAUGUUUGCUAUUUAAGACGUUAAUCGCAACUUUUUUUUUUUACUCUUCAAAGGUUCAAAUUUACUCGUUAUGUUUUCUGAGAGAGGCGCUGAGCAAGCUGUUAUUUUUUUAAUCAAUGGUGCUUUGUAAUUUAAAAUGUAUUGGUCUAUAAUGAUUAAUUGUUACAAUUCAAAAGCAACAGCAAUGGAUCAACCCUGUGUACAAGACUGUGCUUGAAAGGGGGGUAAAAUCAGUCUACGGGGAAAAUACCCGUCUUCACUUUCUGGCUGAGACUUCAUUGAGAAGAUUGAUUGGAGUCUCAUAUGCCAGGUAAGGUACAGUCAGCAGCUUCUAGCUUAGCACAAACACAUGGAAAUGGGGAGAAACGGGUCCCCUGACUCCGCCCUGGAGUAACAAGUACACAUGUUUUAAAGUAAACAAACAAGAUUUAACGAGUUAAUACGCUUAGGAGGUGCUGGUAAAUAUAUUUUGUUAUGUUUGGACAAAACUGUUUCCCUCUGUUUCCAUUCUUUGUGCUAAGCUAAGCUAAACAGCGGCUUGCUGCAGCCCAAUACAUAAACAUGCUAGCUGUCUCCAGUCUUUGCGCUAAGCUAAGCUAAACAGCUGCUUGCUGUAGCCCAAUACAUAAACAUGCUAGCUGUUUCCCCCUGUUUCCAUUCUUUGUGCUAAGCUAAGCUAAACAGCUGCGUCCUUUAGCUCAAUGGCUAAACAGACUAGCUGUUUCCAUUCUUUGUGCUAAGCUAAACUAAAUAGCUGCUUGUAUUAGCCCAAUAUCUAAAGAGGCUAGCUGUUUCCCCCUGUUUCCAUUCUUUGUGCUAAGCUAAGCUAAACAGCUGCUUCCUUUAGUUUAAUAUCUAAACAGGCUAGCUGUUUCCAGUCCAGCUGUUCCCAUGUUUCCAUGCUUUGUGAUAAGCCAAGCUAAACAACGGCUUGCUUUGGCCCAAUAUCUAAACAGUCUAGCUGUUCCCCUGUUUCCAGGCUAGCUGUUCCCCUGUUUCCAUGCGUUUUGCUAAGCUAAGCUAAACGGCUGCUUGCUUUUGCCCAAUAUCUAAAAUCUUCAACUAUUCCCUUAAGAUGGCCAAAUGUAGUGCAAGUGUAUGUAUUAUUACUUCUGUUCAUCAAUGUAAAAGCAGCCUUUCACAAUGUGAACAUUAAUCCAAUAAUCUUCUUACUGGCACGUGAUUUUCCGCCUUUUUUUUUUAACGGCUCCAUCAAUCAAAAGCUUUGGCGUGUAUGUUUUGUAAAGGUACAGCGUGGUAGACUCGAGAAAGUGAAGACAUGGCGACGAGAGAAAAGUCAGAGGGAGCACAAACCCGAUGCCGAAUGAAGUGAAAAAUCUUGUUUCACUAUUAAAAGAAAACAAGCGGCCGAAGGGAUUUAUUCAAAUAUGUGCAAUCCACCUGAAAGAACAGGAACAUCAAGCUGAUAAACAACAUGCUCUCUUUUGGAAAGAUGAACUCGAGCUGCGUGUCCAGCUGAGAAAAAAAAAGCUUCAAGGCUACAGCGGCUACUUGUUUGGCCGCCACACUGCUCGACUGACGAACUCCAGAGUUUCCUCUGGUCCUCUCACAUGCUCCUCCCUAAUAAUAAUAAUAAUAAUAUCCCUGGGCUUGUUCAUCUUGACACCCCCCCCCCUCCCCCUGCGGCCAGAAUCAGACACAGAGAUCGUGUCCCAGCUUCUUGUUUACAUUACACGCUUUCUUACUCUUAUUUCUGAGGUCUAUACUACACAAGCGACAAACACCUGGCGAAGCAGACUCUUGUGACAGUGUCAUGCCUUUUUGCAAUCUGCAUAUUUUGUUGCAUUUUGUUGUUGUUGUUUGCAUACAGUUUUUUUUGUCAACAUCCUCAAUCUGCCGCCUGGAGUAACGGCCAAUCAAAUCCCAUACAGCUGUCAUGUAAAUAUCAUAAAGGAUAUUAUUAACUGGUGUAGGAUGUAAAUCAUGCAUGUCUCACAUGUUUUAAUAUAUGAAUAGAUUAUUUUUGAUUCAGAUAUUUCUUCCACCAUUCUAACAGUGUUGUC